UACGAAGGGGGCUAGCGUUGUUCGGAAUUACUGGGCGUAAAGCGCACGUAGGCGGAUAUUUAAGUCAGGGGUGAAAUCCCAGAGCUCAACUCUGGAACUGCCUUUGAUACUGGGUAUCUUGAGUAUGGAAGAGGUAAGUGGAGUUGCGAGUGUAGAGGUGAAAUUCGUAGAUAUUCGCAGGAACACCAGUGGCGAAGGCGGCUUACUGGUCCAUAACUGACGCUGAGGUGGCGAAA
rnacentral:rRNA from 1 species